CUACCGGGACGCUGCAGUGAGGAAUUUUGCGCAAUGGGGGAAACCCUGACGCAGCAACGCCGCGUGAGUGAAGAAGGCUUUCGGGUCGUAAAGCUCUGUCAGAUAGGAAAAAAGUUCAUAUGUAAAUAGCUUAUGAAUCUGAUGGUACUAUCAGAGGAAGCACCGGCUAACUCCGUGGCCAGCAGCCGCGGUAAUACGGAGGGUGCAAGCGUUGUUCGGAAUUACUGGGCGUAAAGGGCAUGUAGGCGGUAUGGUAAGUCAGAUGUGAAAGCCCUGGGCUUAACUCAGGAAGUGCAUUUGAUACUGCCAUCCUUGAGUAUGGGAGAGGAGAGUAGAAUGCCCAGUGUAGAGGUGAAAUUCGUAGAUAUUGGGAGGAAUACCCGUGGCGAAGGCGACUCUCUGGACCAAUACUGACGCUGAGACGCGAAAGCGUGGGGAGCAAACAGGAUUAGAUACCCCUGUAGUC
rnacentral:rRNA from 1 species